AUUCUCUGGGCUUUGCAACUUGCUAAGGGGGAACAUUAGCAAAAUCAGCUUGCCGCAGGACCCUUCCUUACACCUUUUAUUUAUUUAAAUAUACUAUUCUAUCCUGCUUCGGUCAAAUUUCAUGGCUCUGUUUGGAGUCUCUCUGUUUUUAUUGCUACUCAUUGCUCUGUUUCCAAGCCUCUGUUUUGCUGAUGACCCAAGUGUUUUCUAUGACCUUCGUCUCUCUUACAUCACUGCAUCACCUCUCGGCGUUCCUCAACAGGUUAUUGCGGUUAAUGGAAAGUUUCCAGGUCCCCUAAUCAAUUCUACUACUAAUGACAAUGUUAAUGUCAAUGUACAUAAUGAUUUGGAUGAAAAUCUCCUGAUGACCUGGUCUGGGAUUCAGAUGCGGCGUGACUCUUGGCAGGAUGGUGUUCUUGGCACAAAUUGUCCAAUUCAUCCAAAAAGGAAUUGGACUUACCAGUUUCAAUUGAAGGAUCAAAUUGGAAGCUUUUUCUACUUCCCAUCUCUCAAUUUUCAGAGAGCAUCUGGUGGCUUUGGUCCUAUCAUUAUUAAUAAUCGGGUUAUAAUCGCAAUUCCUUUUGCACAGCCAGAUGGGGAUAUCACCAUUACAAUAGGUGACUGGUAUAUCCAGAACCAUACGGCACUGCGAUCAGCUCUUGAUGCUGGAAAAGGCCUUGCGAUGCCUGAUGGAGUUCUCAUCAAUGGAAAGGGGCCUUACAGAUACAAUACCACCCUCGUACUUGAUGGCAUUGAGUAUGAAACCAUUCAAGUUGAUCCAGGCAAAACAUAUCGAAUUCGUGUGCACAAUGUUGGAAUUUCAACUAGUUUGAACUUUAGAAUUCAAAACCAUUUUCUGCUUCUAGCAGAAACAGAAGGAUACUAUACAACGCAACAAAAUUUUACUUCCUUAGAUAUUCAUGUUGGGCAAUCUUAUUCGUUUUUGGUUACCAUGGACCAGAAUGCAAGUUCUGAUUACUACAUCGUGGCAAGUGCUAGAUUUGUGAAUGAAUCUCUUUGGCAAAGAGUGACCGGUGUUGCUGUUUUACGCUAUUCCAAUUCCAAAGGACCAGCAACUGGUCCUCUCCCUGACCCACCAAAUGAUUUUUAUGACAAGUCAUGGUCAAUGAACCAAGCAUUAAGCAUCAGGCAAAAUGUAUCUGCAAGUGGAGCUCGCUCUAAUCCUCAAGGUUCCUUUCACUAUGGUCAAAUUAAUGUGACUCAGACCUAUGUGAUAAAGACUGUGCCACCAGAAAUAAUUAAUGGGACGCUUCGAACCACACUUAACGGGAUCUCAUUUGUCAAUCCUGACACACCAAUCACGCUUGCUGACAAUUAUAAUGUGAUGGGAGCUUAUAAGCUUAAUUUUCCUGAUCAGCCUCUUAACAGAACACCCCGGCUGGACAGAUCUGUUAUUAAUGCUACAUAUAAGGGAUUCAUAGAAAUCAUAUUUCAGAACAACGACACCAUGAUGCAGAGUUUUCAUGUAGAUGGCUAUUCAUUUUUUAUGGUUGGGUUUUCCCUGGGGGAUGGACAGCGGUCCUUAUUUCUCUGGACAACGUUGGAGUGUGGAACAUUAGAACCGAAAAUCUUGAUAGAUGGUAUCUAGGCCAAGAAACUUAUAUGAAAAUUAUCAAUCCGCAGGAAAAUGGUGCCACGGAGAUGGGUCUACCUGACAAUGUUUUAUAUUGUGGUGCCCUCCAAAACUUAGCAAAUGAUCAAAACAAUUCUGCAGGAUCAGUUUUAAGAGGAAACUCAAAACUGCUUUUCAUUUUGCUGGUGGCGUUCUUUGCUUUGAUUAACAUUUCAAGCUAAACUUUGCUGCUGAUUGGUGAGAAAUAUGAUACCAAACUGUGACGGCUUUGUCCUGACUCUGUUGCAGGUGUGAUGUUAGUGUUGGAGAUGUUUGUGAGACAUAUUCAUAGUUUAAGUUUGCAAACCUUUGUCAGUACAAAAUUUUCUGGUUCAAAGGACAACCAUUUCCUUCUUUUUUUUUUGAAAAAACAUAUCGGGUUUACACCU